AAAACGAUGAUUUAACCUUUUUAAUUUUAAUUUUCUAUAUAUGACAUUUUUUUUCACACUUUGCUUUUGAUGUAUUAACGAAAUCGUACACACAAUUCCGCCACAUGCACGAAUAUUAAUAAUAUUGGUGCAUGUUCGCGAAGCAUUGCAAGAUACGUAUGUAAUUUGUUUCAAAGUUAUCUGAAUCAAUAACUGAUACAUAGGAGGAAACGAGAAUGUAAACAAACACGAAAUCUCCAAGAAUGAGAUAAGUGAAGUGUUUACAUCUGAGGAGAACUGUGAAACAGUACCAUCAAUCUUCGGAACUAAUAUAUAUACAAAGAAAAUGCCAAUCGCAGAUAGUCCAGAGAAUAACCAAGAUGUACCAGACCUACCCAUCGCUACCGUUAAGUCACUGUAAAAUUUGGUUACAACGAAAGCCAAUAACCAAUUUAAAA